rnacentral:rRNA from 2 species
UACAGAGGUCCCGAGCGUUGUUCGGAUUCACUGGGCGUAAAGGGUGCGUAGGCGGCUUUGCAAGUCUGAUGUGAAAUCUCCGGGCCCAACCCGGAAAUGGCAUUAGAAACUGUGAGGCUGGAGGCUUGGAGGGGGAACUGGAAUACUUGGUGUAGCAGUGAAAUGCGUAGAUAUCAAGUGGAACACCGGUGGCGAAGGCGAGUUCCUGGACAAGACCUGACGCUGAGGCACGAAAGCCGGGGGAGCAAACAGG